GCCAGCAUGGCAUAGUGGUUUCAGUGUUGGACUAUGACUCUAGAGACCAGGGUUUGAAUCCUUGCUUGGCC
rnacentral:tRNA from 1 species